UACAGAGGGGGCAAGCGUUGUUCGGAUUUACUGGGCGUAAAGGGCGCGUAGGCGGCUUUGUAAGUUACUUGUGAAAUCUUGAAGCUCAACUUCAAACGGUCAAGUAAUACUGCAGAGCUUGAGUGCAGAAGGGGCAACUGGAAUUCUUGGUGUAGCGGUGAAAUGCGUAGAUAUCAAGAGGAACACCUGAGGCGAAGGCGGGUUGCUGGGCUGACACUGACGCUGAGGCGCGAAAGCUAGGGGAGCAAACAGG
rnacentral:rRNA from 1 species